GUGGGGAAUAUUGCACAAUGGAGGGAACUCUGAUGCAGCGACGCCGCGUGAGCGAUGAAGGCCUUCGGGUCGUAAAGCUCUGUCCUAUGGGACGAUAAUGACGGUACCAUAGGAGGAAGCCCCGGCUAACUACGUGCCAGCAGCCGCGGUAAUACGUAGGGGGCGAGCGUUGUCCGGAAUUACUGGGCGUAAAGGGUACGCAGGCGGCCAUGUAAGUCAGAUGUGAAAGGUCACGGCUCAACCGUGGUAAGCAUUUGAAACUGUGUGGCUUGAGUUAAGGAGAGGAAAGUGGAAUUCCUGGUGUAGCGGUGAAAUGCGUAGAUAUCAGGAGGAAUACCAGUGGCGAAGGCGACUUUCUGGACUUAAACUGACGCUGAGGUACGAAAGCGUGGGGAGCAAACAGG
rnacentral:rRNA from 1 species